rnacentral:rRNA from 1 species
CUCGUAGUUGGAUUUCUGGCAGGAGCGACCGGUCGCGCACUCUGUGCGUGAACUUGUGUUGUCUCUGGCCAUCCUCGGGGAGAUCCUGUUUGGCAUUAAGUUGUCGGGCAGGGGAUACCCGUCGUUUACUGUGAAAAAAUUAGAGUGUUUAAAGCAGGCUUAUGCCGUUGAAUAUAUUAGCAUGGAAUAAUAAGAUAGGACUUCGGAACUAUUUUGUUGGUUUGCGUUACGAAGUAAUGAUUAAUAGGGACAGUUGGGGGUAUUCGUAUUUCAUUGUCAGAGGUGAAAUUCUUGGAUUUCUGAAAGACGAACUACUGCGAAAGCAUUUACCAA